AGAGGCCAGUGUUGAUCAGUGGCUGUCCAGGCCUUUCAGAGCCACUGACACACCAGCAGCACAAUGAUGAUGUCUCUGACUCUACUGCUGGCCACCCUGGGGCUCCUUGUUCAGGGUUCAUCAGGAGACAUCAUCCUGACUCAGUCUCCUGGAGCUCAGUCUGUUGUUCUGGGACAGACUGUCUCUAUCAGAUGUAAAGCCAGUUCAAGUAUGGGUAGCUACCUUCACUGGUACCUUCAGAAACCUGGAGAAGCUCCUAAACUCCUGAUUUAUUAUGCUACAAACCGUCAGUCUGGAGUUUCAGAUCGUUUCAGUGGAAGUGGAUCUGGGACUGACUUCACUCUGACCAUCAGUAGAGUUCAGACUGAAGAUGCAGGAGUUUAUUACUGUGGACAGAGUGGUUACAGCACCCCGUUCACACAGUGAUACAACGUCGUACAAAAACCUCCCUCAGCUGCAGAGGAACUGAUCUGACUCAACAGCAUUGACUUCGGUUCAUAUAACAGACAACCUCCAAGUUUCCUUCAAAGGUUAUUUUCAAGUAAUUCAGUUAUAACUUGAAUUUUAACAAUCAUUUGUUACAUGUUUCAGCUACAGUAAAGUUUUCAACACAUCUUACAACAUUAAAUGUUUUUAGGUUUGUGUUCACAAUAAAACACACAUGUUGU